UACGGAGGGUCCAAGCGUUAUCCGGAUUUAUUGGGUUUAAAGGGUCCGCAGGCGGGAAAAUAAGUCAGUGGUGAAAGCCUACAGCUUAACUGUAGAACUGCCAUUGAUGCUGUUUUUCUUGAGUAUAAUUGAAGUGGGCGGAAUGUGUCAUGUAGCGGUGAAAUGCAUAGAUAUGACACAGAACACCGAUUGCGAAGGCAGCUCACUAAAUUACAACUGACGCUCAUGGGCGAAAGCGUGGGGAGCAAACAGG
rnacentral:rRNA from 1 species